CCAAACUGCACUCUCAUCGGUUUCAUUCUCACAGCCUGCACAUAACACAACAUGGGAUUCUGUGUGACCUGUAAUCUACAGCACUACGUUUUACCAUUCAGGCUCACACACACAUACACACACACACACACACACAACAAACACAGAUAUAAACAUGCACACACACACACACACAAAACAAACAAACACAUGCGCACACACACAGACAUAGAUAUAAACACACACACACAGAUAUAAACACACACACACACAGAUAUAAACAUGCACACGCAUAUAUAAAC